CCCCGGCCGGCCGCCGCCCCCUCCCUCUCCGCACCCCAAGCCUUUAACGCCUCCUCUUCCGAAAGCCACGGGGGUGGCCGGGCCGCCCUCCCCGCCGCCGCGGCCCUGCGGGGCGCUACCGCCUUCCCCUCAGCGCCGCACCCCCACCUUCCUCAGCACCCACCACCGGCUCCGCGUUGCCGCGCAACGAGCGGCGGGCCGCGGUGCGGGGCGCGGAGGGGUGCGGGUGGGCAUGGCGGAGCCCGCUGACAGGGCAGCACAUGUUUACGGGGCCGCGCUCUGCCGGCACGGGGGAGGAGGAGGAGGAGAAAUCUGAGGCAAAAGCCGAACAGGAUCGCGGGCGGGAGCGCGGAGGAAGGGCUGAGGGAGCUCGGGGGGGGGAACGCGGGCGGGGCUGUGUGGAAACGGCGGCCUGUCAGCCCCGGCUGGGCCUCGGGGUGACAGCCAACGGCCUCUUCCUGCAGGGGAAAAGUCCCGUUUUCCAAACGAAACCUCUUUUAUUUGUGCCUUUCCGGCUCUGCGAGGGGGUUUUUUGGUAAAAAUGGGCCAUCAAAACUCUGAAUUUUCCUGAAGACUCCUCAGCUUGACUUCCUCAAGACUUCCUUGACUGGAAGGAGCACCUUCAUCUGGAGCACUGGAAGGAGAAGCUUCCAUCACGGAGCUUAGCUGGGGGAAAAAAACCCCAACCCAACAAAAAACCACCAAGCCAAAAACCACCCAGCAAAAUAACAACCCCAAAUUAGCUUUAAUGAACCCUCUGUACUCACUAGAAAAUAGGAGCAUGUACAGCAUGGAAAAUGGCUCUUACAUCUCAAGCUAGUGACCUGGCUUGCAGCUGAUUAAUGGAAAAAAAUCUCUUGAGUUGGGCGUGAUCCCCAAGUUAUCUGGCUAUCUGGUGUUUCCCUUAAAUUUUGGUUACAGUGGGGUCUACUUAAAGAGCCUUUAGAGUUAAUGUCAGUAUGGGACGCAAGCCAAAAAAAAGCAAGAGUGCUUGUUGUCAAAGCAGAGUAUUCAUCUCCAACAUGAAAAAUUUAUGCAAAUAAACCUACUAUUUUAUGAUAGGGAGCAAGAUGAUCAAAAUAAAAAUGUACCUAUUGCUUAAUUCAUUGGCGUAAAAAAUUUUAUUAUAUAAUAUUUUUUUCCUUGGUUCCAAAAGACUUAAGAGUGGAGUUUCCAUGUAAAAAGUGAGUCGACUAGUGGAUUUGUAAAAAGGGGAAGUGUCAUCGUAUCAGCAGUAGCAUGAAACUCCAAGGAGCUGAGCUGUUUUUCUGGGAAGCAACACCUUUGAAGAGACAUAAACAUGCAUAUCAGAAAAUAAGAAGGAGAAGAAGAGGAAGAAAAGGAGAGCUAGCCAAGAUCUAUCCUUUAUGCCACAUCAGCUUCCAAAAGCAAUGACUGGCCCAGACAAAAGCCGGGUGUGUUGGGGCUGCGUCGCGGGGGCUGUGGCUGCUGUUGACCCACGGGAUGGGCUGCAGCGACCUUCCAGUGCCCAGAGCCAAGCUGCCAAAAAACCUCUGGAAACACCACUUUUGGAGGUGUGGGGGAAUCCUGCUGGAAGACGAUCCGCUGGAACUUGUGAGCGAUUCCGUUGCGGAUCUUGGAAAACUUGGAUUUCUUGGAAAUCUUGAAAGAAUGAACGAAAACAACUGGUUUAUGGAGCUGGGUUGAGGAAGUUGAAACAAAUUCUAUAGUUGGACAGGAAAAGUAAAUUCAUUAUUUAUUUACGAAUGAGUGCUGUCUUGACUAUAAUUUCUUUCAUACACUUUGUAUGAAUAAAUAUCACUAGUUUUUA